GGGGGCUCAAUGGUGGAGUACUUGCCUCGCAUGCAUGACGCCCUGAGUUCGAUCCUCAGCACCA
rnacentral:tRNA from 1 species